GAUGAACGCUAGCGGGAGGCCUAAUACAUGCAAGUCGAGCGGUAGAGUGACUUCGGUUGCUUGAGAGCGGCGCACGGGUGAGUAACGCGUACAUGACCUACCUUUAAGACUGGGAUAGCCCUGGGAAACUGGGAUUAAUACCGGAUGUGAUAAUACGUAUAGAGAUGUAUUAUUAAAGUUGAGGCGCUUAGAGAUGGAUGUGCGCCUGAUUAGCUAGUUGGUAGGUAACGGCUACCAAGGCUACGAUCAGUAGGGGCUGAGAGCGUGGCCCCCCAACGGGUACUGAGACACGGACCCGACUCCUAC
rnacentral:rRNA from 1 species